ensembl:lncRNA
GUCGUUAAGACCUGAGCAAGUUUAUUUAUCUAGCACAUUACAUACACAACGGCAUUUCAAACCUAACAAACACAUGAACAACAGAAAUGAGAGAACAUGCAGAAUAAAGGUAAAUAAAUAACACAGUAAUAGCCUACGGUAGUGAUACAAUAUUUAAUAUGGUGAUACGUUCGAGCGUGUUAUAUUCCUUGUCAUCUUAUUUUAUAUUACCUAUUAUUAUAAUUAUGGUUGUUGUUACAGAGGCUUAUUACAAAUCAAGCAUGAUCUUAUAUUUUGACAGGAGGAGAAGAUUUCACAAUCUGUUAUGCUAUGUCUGUUGAAUGUGCGAAGGUUAAGUGAUUUUUCCCACAUUGUUCUUUUUGUUCAGUCCAACUCACAUCAGUCUAAAAAAACAUCAUUGUUGAUUCUCCAGGCUUUUUUUAUUACCUGUAAAACACUGGAGACAAACCUAGUUUAUCCCAUACUCUCCAGUAACAGUACUGUAAGCUACAGUAAAUAAGGCAUCAGAGGAUUGUUGAAACAUGUAAUCCCUCGUAAUCAACAAAAACAUUCUGCCCCUCACAUUGCUAUACUGAGGUACAGCCCAUUUACAAUACAUAAAUAAUAAUGUAGGGUAGGAAAGUUAAAACAGUUUGUGUGCUAAAAAAAUAUUAAAGAAUUUCACUUUUUUUAUUUGAUGUUUGAUGGUUCCACAACUAGAAAGACUUGUAUUGACCAAUAUUAAUGGCUCAGUUCUCUUUAAACAACAAUGAAAAACUUGGCAGACAUCACUACCAAAAUAAUCUAUGGAAGUAAUCAGGGUAUAUUUAAGAAAAGAACAACUCAGUCACCUGAAAUCAACUGCAUAUUUGGUUUGAUGCUACUUAAAGGUAAUUUUGCCAAAAUAUAUAUAUAAAAAACACUCACAUAUCCCCAAUUACAGUACUUGCAAAAGCAGUGACUAAAAUUACAUUAUGUUCAUAUUGGCUGUUUAAAGAACACUGAGUCUUAGAUUACAUAUUGUGUUGGCCAAUACAACCAUCUAACAUCAAGCUGCAUUUCUAUUAAUUUAUUAAUACGUCACUGACCUCCUACCCCAGCGGACGACAAACACACCUCCCCUGAUAGGCACCCUCCCCUUUUUAGUAAAUUAACAAAUAAAAAUGAUCGGUAGCAUUAGGAAUGGUAAGCAAGCCGCAACAUGAGAGAAGCACAGAAGUCUGACAUUGGCUAUAUCCCAAACCCCCCCCUUCACCUCUCCAAUUGAACCUUCACAUGCCACUGGCACUGCCACUGGCAUUUGCACAAGCAACCCUAAGAGGGAUAAUGGAGGGUGUAGGCGCUAAUCGGAUGCUUCAGUGGCCACUUUCUGUUGCAACCAUUCCAACGUCAUGAACUCAGUGAAAGCCCAUUAAGAACAACAUCACAUCUUUUUGUUUCACACAAAAAGAUAAGAGGUGUGCCCAAUUAUGACACAUGGAUUUUUUUGUCUAAGAUGAAGAAUGUCACAGCUUGCAAUCUUAUUAUUGUAAUAAAAUGCAAGUGGUCUCUAAAGUCUCUUACUAAAACAUUGCAUUUUAUUUCAACUAUAACAUCUGAGAGCAGUGACCAUGUGUGACAGCGGCUUUUUCUCAAUGUUUUUCGAACAUGAACCAGCAUGAGUUUAUACAGGUGUGCAACUACGGGGGUUGGACAAAAUAAUGGGAAAGGAUUGUCACUUUGAAGCUACUACACAAUUACAAUCUCAGAUGAAGAGGUCACAUUAGGUUGUUUGCAAAUUAGCAGUAUGUAUGUGUCAGUUAUAAAACAGGUCUAAUAGUUAGCACUUUGAAAUUUGAAUUUCGGAAGUAACAUGAGGCCACUGAAAGCUUCAGAGGGAGCAAACAGCCUGUACUGCAGGAGCAUCAGUCACAAAAACUACAAAACUAUUCAAUAUGUCAAGGGAAACGGUCUAAAAAUCUUGACAGCAUAUGCUGAUCAUUGACAAAACGAACCUCAGAAUAGAAUCAGCACCACAGUGACCCAGUCUUAAUAAAAACUGUACGUUGUGAGUAUCACAAAGCUGGAAUUUAUGGCAGGGCUGUCAUUCAGAAACCAAUUGUAUCUAAGGCAAAUGUACAAACACAUUUAACUUUGUACAAA